UCUAGCGGAACUGCCAGCGUAAGCUGCGAGGAAGUGGGGAUGACGUCAAAUCAGCACGGCCCUUACGUCCAGGGCUACACACGUGUUACAAUGGCCAGUACAGAGGGCAGCCACCCCGCGAGGGGGCGCUAAUACCUAAAAGCUGGUCCCAGUUCGGAUCGGAGUCUGCAACCCGACUCCGUGAAGCUGGAUUCGCUAGUAAUCGCGCAUCAGCCACGGCGCGGUGAAUACGUUCCCGGGCCUU
rnacentral:rRNA from 1 species